rnacentral:rRNA from 1 species
UACGGAGGAGGCAAGCGUUAUCCGGAAUUAUUGGGCGUAAAGCGUCCGCAGGUGGCACUUCAAGUCUGUCGUCAAAGACUGGGGCUUAACCCCGGAACUGCACUGGAUACUGCUUUGCUAGAGUACUGGAGAGGGAACUGGAAUUUACGGUGUAGCAGUGAAAUGCGUAGAUAUCGUAAGGAAGACCAGCGGCGAAGGCGAGUUCCUGGACAGUUACUGACGCUGAGGCACGAAGGCCAGGGGAGCAAACGGG